rnacentral:rRNA from 1 species
UCGUGUCGUGAGAUGUUGGGUUAAGUCCCGUAACGAGCGCAACCCUUGUCCUUAGUUACCAGCACGUUAUGGUGGGCACUCUAAGGAGACUGCCGGUGACAAACCGGAGGAAGGUGGGGAUGACGUCAAGUCAUCAUGGCCCUUACGGCCUGGGCUACACACGUGCUACAAUGGUCGGUACAAAGGGUUGCCAAGCCGCGAGGUGGAGCUAAUCCCAUAAAACCGAUCGUAGUCCGGAUCGCAGUCUGCAACUCGACUGCGUGAAGUCGGAAUCGCUAGUAAUCGUGAAAUCAGAAUGUCACGGUGAAUACGUUCCCGGGCCUU